GUAGUCAUAUGCUUGUCUCAAAGAUUAAGCCAUGCAUGUCUAAGUAUAAGCAACUUGUACUGUGAAACUGCGAAUGGCUCAUUAAAUCAGUUAUCGUUUAUUUGAUAGUACCUUACUACAUGGAUACCUGUGGUAAUUCUAGAGCUAAUACAUGCUAAAAACCCCGACUUCAGGAAGGGGUGUAUUUAUUAGAUAAAAAACCAACGCCCUUCGGGGCUCCUUGGUGAAUCAUAAUAACUUAACGAAUCGCAUGGCCUUGCGCCGGCGAUGGUUCAUUCAAAUUUCUGCCCUAUCAACUUUCGAUGGUAGGAUAGUGGCCUACCAUGGUGGCAACGGGUAACGGAGGGUUAGGGCUCGACCUUCGGGGCUCCUUGGUGAAUCAUAAUAACUUAACGAAUCGCAUGGCCUUGCGCCGGCGAAGGUUCAUUCAAAUUUCUGCCCUAUCAACUUUCGAUGGUAGGAUAGUGGCCUACCAUGGUGGCAACGGGUAACGGGGAAUUAGGGUUCGAUUCCGGAGAGG
rnacentral:rRNA from 1 species